rnacentral:rRNA from 1 species
CUAAGGAAGGCAGCAGGCACGCAAAUUACCCACUCCCAGCCCGGGGAGGUAGUGACGAAAAAUAACGAUGCGAGACUCUUCCGAGGCCUCGCAAUCGGAAUGAGUUCAUUUUAAAACUUUGGACGAGGAUCCAUUGGAGGGCAAGUCUGGUGCCAGCAGCCGCGGUAAUUCCAGCUCCAAUAGCGUAUAUUAAAGUUGCUGCGGUUAAAAAGCUCGUAGUUGGAUCUCCUAGAUCCAUUUUAGUGAUCGAGUCGCUCGUUGAGCUAGCGUCCUUCGUCUAGUCGCCGGACUUGUGGAGUCGGGAUUCCCCUCUCGCGUCGAUCCGUUUCUCCGCUUCGGUGGAGCGAGCGGCGGCGAGGGUUGGGGGCCUCUCCUAUUUCGGUGGACGGUCGGUCGUUGUCUUCGAGUAUCGCUCUUUCGCUUGUGGUACAAUUAAAAAUUUGUCGGCUCGCUCGGAGUGCUCUUUACCGAGUGUUCCAGGGUGGCCGACACGUUCACUUUGAAAAAAUUAGAGUGCUUAAAGCGGGCGCAUACGCUGCCUGAAUGUCUGUGCAUGGAAUGAAGUAACAGGACCUCGAUUCUGUUGUUUUUGUCGGUUUUAUUGAACCGAGGUAAUGAUUAAAAGGGACAGACGGUGGCAUUAGUAUUGCGGCGCUAGAGGUGAAAUUCUUGGACCGCUGCAAGACUAACUACUGCGAAAGCAUUUGCCGAGAAUGUUUUCAUUAAUCAAGAACGAAAGUUAGAGGAUCGAAGGCGAUCAGAUACCGCCCUAGUUCUAACCCUAAACUAUGCUAACUAGCGAUCCGCCGGAGUCAUUCCCACGACCCGGCGGGAAGCCCCAGGGAAACCAAAGUUUUUGAGUUCCGGGGGAAGUAUGGUUGCAAAGCUGAAACUUAAAGGAAUUGACGGAAGGGCACCACCAGGAGUGGAGCCUGCGGCUUAAUUUGACUCAACACGGGAAACCUCACCAGGCCCGGACAUCAUAAGGAUUGACAGGUUGAGAGCUCUUUCUCGAUUUGAUGGGUGGUGGUGCAUGGCCGUUCUUAGUUGGUGGAGUGAUCUGUCUGGUUGAUUCCGAUAACGAACGAGACUCUACCCUACUAACUAGUCGGCGGAUCGUAACCCUGAGAUGGUUAGUUUGUAUAGGUUGGUUUGUCCGAGUCGCGAGCGGUAGCUUUUGUUGCGUUAGUGUUAAGGGUUCUUCAGACGUGCUUUCGCGGUGCGCCUGGCCUCUUUCUCUAUCGUGUCGGGUUAUUUAGCGAGCGGCGAAGCUUCCUUCUGAUUACUGCUACUGCUGGGGGCGUCCGUCGCAAUGCAUCUUCUUAGAGGGAUCAGCGGCGUAUAGCCGCACGAGAAAGAGCAAUAACAGGUCUGUGAUGCCCUUAGAUGUUCUGGGCCGCACGCGCGCUACAAUGUAGAGAUCAGCGUGCUUUCCCCUUCCGAAAGGAACGGGUAACCCGUUGAAACCCCUACCCGAUUGGGAUUGGGGAUUGCAAAUAUUUCCCAUAAACGAGGAAUUCCCAGUAAGCGCGAGUCAUUAACUCGCGCUGAUUACGUCCCUGCCCUUUGUACACACCGCCCGUCGCUACUACCGAUUGAAUGAUUCAGUGAGGGCAUCGGACUGGCGCCUUCGGUUUAGUAACAUAGACCUUAGGCUGACGGAAAGAUGUCCGAAC